rnacentral:rRNA from 1 species
UACGUAGGGGGCAAGCGUUGUCCGGAAUCAUUGGGCGUAAAGAGCGUGUAGGCGGCCAGGUAGGUCCGUUGUGAAAACUCGAGGCUCAACCUCGAGACGUCGAUGGAAACCAUCUGGCUAGAGUCCGGAAGAGGAGAGUGGAAUUCCUGGUGUAGCGGUGAAAUGCGCAGAUAUCAGGAAGAACACCUAUGGCGAAGGCAGCUCUCUGGGACGGUACUGACGCUGAGACGCGAAAGCGUGGGGAGCGAACAGG